AGAGUUUGAUCAUGGCUCAGGACGAACGCUGGCGGCGUGCUUAACACAUGCAAGUCGAACGAACUAUAGCAAUAUGGUUAGUGGCGCACGGGUGAGUAACACGUGACCAACCUUCCUUAGACUGUGGGAUAACGACGGGAAACUGUCGCUAAUACCGCAUAUUGAGCGUGAGUGGCAUCAUUUACGCUUGAAAGAUUUAUCGGUCUAAGAUGGGGUCGCGCCCUAUUAGCUUGUUGGUGAGGUAACGGCUCACCAAGGCGACGAUGGGUAGCUGGUCUGAGAGGAUGAUCAGCCACACUGGGACUGAGAUACGGCCCAGACUCCUACGGGAGGCAGCAGUGAGGAAUAUUGCGCAAUGGGCGAAAGCCUGACGCAGCAACGCCGCGUGAAGGAUGAAGGUGCUUUGCAUUGUAAACUUCUGUAGAGAGGGAAGAAUCCCCGACUUGUUCGGGAUGACGGUACCUCUAAAGAGACAG
rnacentral:rRNA from 1 species